rnacentral:rRNA from 1 species
CCUACGGGAGACAGCAGUGAGGAAUAUUGGUCAAUGGACGAGAGUCUGAACCAGCCAAGUAGCGUGAAGGAUGACUGCCCUAUGGGUUGUAAACUUCUUUUAUAAAGGAAUAAAACGAGGCACGUGUGCCUUUUUGCAUGUACUUUAUGAAUAAGGAUCGGCUAACUCCGUGCCAGCAGCCGCGGUAAUACGGAGGAUCCGAGCGUUAUCCGGAUUUAUUGGGUUUAAAGGGAGCGUAGAUGGGUUGUUAAGUCAGUUGUGAAAGUUUGCGGCUCAACCGUAAAAUUGCAAUUGAUACUGGCAGUCUUGAGUACAGUUGAGGUAGGCGGAAUUCGUGGUGUAGCGGUGAAAUGCUUAGAUAUCACGAAGAACCCCGAUUGCGAAGGCAGCUUACUAAACUGUGACUGACAUUGAUGCUCGAAAGCGUGGGUAGCAAACAGGAUUAGAUACCCUUGUAGUC